UGGGGAAUUUUGGACAAUGGGCGAAAGCCUGAUCCAGCAAUGCCGCGUGUGUGAAGAAGGCCUUCGGGUUGUAAAGCACUUUUGUCCGGAAAGAAAUCCUUGGCUCUAAUACAGUCGGGGGUGACGGUACCGGAAGAAUAAGCACCGGCUAACUACGUGCCAGCAGCCGCGGUAAUACGUAGGGUGCAAGCGUUAAUCGGAAUUACUGGGCGUAAAGCGUGCGCAGGCGGUUUGCUAAGACCGAUGUGAAAUCCCCGGGCUCAACCUGGGAACUGCAUUGGUGACUGGCAGGCUAGAGUAUGGCAGAGGGGGGUAGAAUUCCACGUGUAGCAGUGAAAUGCGUAGAGAUGUGGAGGAAUACCGAUGGCGAAGGCAGCCCCCUGGGCCAAUACUGACGCUCAUGCACGAAAGCGUGGGGAGCAAACAGGAUUAGAUACCCUGGUAGUCCACGCCCUAAACGAUGUCAACUAGUUGUUGGGGAUUCAUUUCCUUAGUAACGUAGCUAACGCGUGAAGUUGACCGCCUGGGGAGUACGGUCGCAAGAUUAAAACUCAAUGAAUUGAC
rnacentral:rRNA from 1 species